UUAUUUAGUAUUUUCAUUGUUUUACCGCCUUAUUGACCUUAUUUGGGUGGAAUAAAACUAAAGCAGUGAUUUUGUCACUAACUUCGAGGAUGGAUGCGUAGCGUCCUUGGACGGAGAGGUUGAGGCUAUUGAGAACACUGAAUACGUCCGAUAUGCCAAUUUGGCAACCUACUCCGGGUCGGAAAAAAACUUUGCGAUGUUGGGCUUUUCAUUCACCUAACCAAAUGUUUCGAAGACGACCUUAGAGAAGCCUACUAUCCCAUGCCAUCUGUGGGCGUGGAAGUCGUUGGUUUGUUUAUUUGUUGUCAACACACUCACUGAACGAUGGCAACCUUGAGUCGAGGUCAGUUGGUGGAGCUGGAGCUGAUUAACAUUGAACAGCAACUGAUAAUAUUGUGAAGGAGGAGACGGAGGAAGCUUAAUAGCAGAGAGACGUCGUCAAACUACGACAGGCCCUCAACUUGCAGCAUGUCCUUAAACAAAGGACCUUCGCUAUCCACCACAUCACCUGAGGCCUCCCCCGAGCCAUCCACCACAUCACCUGAGGCCUCCCCCGAGCCAUCCACCACAUCACCUGAGGCCUCCCCCGAGCCAUCCACCACAUCACCUGAGGCCUCCUCCGAGCCAUCCACCUCAACACCUGAGGCCUCCCCCGAGCCAUCCACCUCAUCACCUGAGUCCUCCGUCCAGCCAACCACCUCAGAUUCUCCACCUCCCAGUUUACCGGUUCUGUCCACCCCUCCAGCCUCCAUGAUGCCGCCCUCUCCUCUGUCCCGCACAGGCCAGAAAAAAAAGCAAAGGGAGCAGGACGGCGUGGAGAUUGCGCGGCCGGAACAACGCAAGAUGGACUUGCAUAACAACAAUGAAAUGGAUGAGAGGUAGAGAUUUUGCGAUAUGAUGGCUGACAUGGUGAGGAGGGUGCGAGAAAAGAAUAGGCCUGAAGCCAUGCAAAAACUGUACUGCAUGGCGUUCGAAUUACAAAAGAACUGAAUGCCAGACACUAUUCUUUGUAUGCAUUUUGUAAAUAGUUCAGUAUUUUGUAUAGUUUGUAUUGUUUUGCACUAAAAUAUAUUUUGCAUACUUCUUAAAGGGCUUCGAUUAAAUCAUCACACUUUUUGUUAAAUUCAGGGAAAUUCUCAUCACAUUCCUCUAGCUGUCUGCCCAGUGUGUGUGCUCAAACUUGUGUUAGUAUACUGGCUCUGUAAGUGAGAAACAGGCUAAGUGGAGAGAGGAGAAGGGGAGGGGAAACAGUCAGGAACAUGGCAGAUGAAAUCAUACACGUAUCAGGAUGAGCAUGCUAGCAUACAUAUGAUAAAUGUACACAGCAUACAUAUGGUA
ensembl:lncRNA